GCUGGACGUGGUGGCUCAUGUCUGUAAUCCCAACACUUGGGAGGCUGAGGUGAGAGGAUCACUUGAGCCCAGGAGUUUGAGACUAGCCUGGGCAACAUAGUGAGACCCCAUCUCUA
ensembl:misc_RNA Metazoa_SRP Metazoan signal recognition particle RNA